rnacentral:rRNA from 1 species
AUUGAACGCUGGCGGCAGGCUUAACACAUGCAAGUCGAACGGUAACAGGAAGUACUUGUACUUUGCUGACGAGUGGCGGACGGAUGAGUAAUGCUUGGGAAUCUGUUUUAUGGAGGGGGAUAACUACGGGAAACUGUAGCUAAUACCGCGUAAUAUCGAGAGAUUAAAGUGUGGGACCGCAAGGCCACAUGCCAUGAAGUGAGCCCAAGUGGGAUUAGGUAGUUGGUGGGGUAAAGGCCUACCAAGCCGUCGAUCUCUAGCUGGUCUGAGAGGAUGACCAGCCACACUGGGACUGAGACACGGCCCAGACUCCUACGGGAGGCAGCAGUGGGGAAUAUUGCACAAUGGGCGCAAGCCUGAUGCAGCCAUGCCGCGUGAAUGAAGAAGGCCUUCGGGUUGUAAAGUUCUUUCGGUGGUGAGGAAGGUUGGCGUGUUAAUAGCACGUUGAUUUGACGUUAGCCACAGAAGAAGCACCGGCUAACUCCGUGCCAGCAGCCGCGGUAAUACGGAGGGUGCGAGCGUUAAUCGGAAUAACUGGGCGUAAAGGGCACGCAGGCGGAUACUUAAGUGAGGUGUGAAAGCCCUGGGCUUAACCUAGGAAUUGCAUUUCAUACUGGGUAUCUAGAGUAUUUUAGGGAGGGGUAGAAUUCCACGUGUAGCGGUGAAAUGCGUGGAGAUGUGGAGGAAUACCGAAGGCGAAGGCAGCCCCUUGGGGGAAUACUGACGCUCAUGUGCGAAAGCGUGGGGAGCAAACAGG